UACGGUCGGGCAUGGGUGAAGUUAUUGUUGGAUGUGCCGCUGGUGCUCCAGCUGAUUCUACUGCGGCUGCUGGACCGGCA
rnacentral:pre_miRNA from 1 species